UUAAAAAAAAAACUGUUAUCAUUUUCCGUAUUGGUAUGAGUUUUAAUAAUAUGAAAGUUGGUGCAUGGUAAUCUAAGGUUUUGUAUAAAGUAUUGCCUUCUCUUUGAAUAUCUUGAAAUUUUUUUUUUCUUUGACACCUAAUAUUGAUUUUUGCCAUGUUCUAACUGAGUUUUGGAUUCAAUCUCUUUUGGGACCAGAUGGAGUCCCUUGCUUAUAGG
rnacentral:misc_RNA from 1 species